rnacentral:rRNA from 1 species
UACGGAGGGUGCAAACGUUAUCCGGAAUCACUGGGCGUAAAGCGCAUGUAGGUGGUUAUGUAAGUGGACGAUUAAAGACCGAGGCUUAACCUCGGGAGUGUUUUCCAAACUGCAUGACUAGAGGAAGAUAGGGGCAAGUGGAACUUUAGGUGUAGGAGUGAAAUCCGUAGAUAUCUAAAGGAACACCAAUGGCGAAGGCAGCUUGCUGGGUCUUAUCUGACACUGAGAUGCGAAAGCGUGGGGAGCGAACGGGG